GUUUGGAAGAUGUGGAAACGCCUUGCUCCAUCCCGAACCAAGAAGCUAAGCACAUCGUGGGUGAUGAUACUACGCCUUACUGGCAGGGGGAAAGUAGCUCAUUGCGGACU
rnacentral:rRNA from 1 species